rnacentral:rRNA from 1 species
GCUCCAAUAGCGUAUAUUAAAGUUGUUGCAGUUAAAAAGCUCGUAGUUGGAUUUCUGGCAUGUGGAUCACUGGCCGGCAUCCUAGUGGUGCUGUGUUGUCGGUUGAUCUCUGCCAUCUUUUCGGAAAAACCGUCUGCUCUUCACUGGGUUGGGCGGGCGAUUCCGAUCUUUUACUUUGAAAAAAUUAGAGUGUUCAAAGC